UAACCAACACGCAUGUGCUGCUCCUACCAGGAAGUUCUUCUUUAAAACGCGAAGUACGCAUGCGUCACAUCCUUUCUUCCCACGAGUGGAAGGAGCUGGUCGGAUGUUCUACACGUUGCAGUAUAACUUGAGGAGCCUGAGGAAGAUGGCUGCAGCCAAUGGAAGUGAUCAUGUCAUUUGCUACUGGAAAUGGGUGACAUGAGAAGUACAAAUAAAUAACUUGGUCCAAGGAUUGCCACUGGACAAGAGUGACAUGAGAAGUGCAAAUGAUGAAUAACAGGUCCAAAGAUUGCCACUGGACAAGGAUGACAUGAGAAGUACAAAUAAAUAACUGGUCCAAGGAUUGCUACUGGACAAAGACAGUGUUUGUUUCUAUGAUGAUUGUCAAGUUUUUGCCGUUUACCCAUCUGACCAAAUUGGUUUGCUGACACUGCCCAAGGAUUGCCACUGGACAAGAGUGACAUGAGAAGUGCAAAUGAUGAAUAACAGGUCCAAGGAUUGCCACUGGACAAGAGUGACAUGAGCAGUACAAAUAAAUAACUGGUGCAAGGAUUACAACAUAGAAAAUUGUGACCUGAAAAGUGCAGCUGAAUGAAGGAUUUUAAGGUUGUGUAAUUCUGCACAAAAUGCAAGAUCUGUUUGCGGGAUUCUUCCAACAAAAGAUCCCUCUGGUUCAAGGAGUCUAGGUCACGGAGAGCACAGGGAAACACCGCAUCGGGUGGAAAAACAAGCGCAGAGGCCCCUGCGUUCCCAAAACAAACUUUCUCAUUCCAACUCUGUAACAUGUAACAUCUAUAACCUCACUGUAACAGGGGUUUGAUCCUAACAAUAAAGCAGUAAUGCAGUGCUAAAACAGGUAAACAGAUUAUGAUCAAACAUGCAUAUUGAAAUAAACUGUCAUCUGAAAACUC